rnacentral:ribozyme from 15 species
AAUCGCAAUGUCAGAAGAUGAGGUUUUUUUUUUUUUUUUUUUUUUGGUUUUUUUUUUUUUUUUU